AAAGCCACAGUCAUCAAGACAGUAUGGUACUGGCACGAAAACAGAAAUAUAGACCAAUGGAACAAGAUAGCCCGGAGACAAACCCACGUCCCUCCUUAAGAAGAGUGUGGUGUUCAACAAAGAUUCCAGACACUAGUUCCUCCAGUCUGCCAAAAAUGUCCACCGGGGACAGUCCAAACAUGAGAAGAUCGUUUCAACACACCAACCAAAUGGGGUGGUGUAAGAUAAAAGAAAGCCAUGGCAAAGCUUAAAUCAAGGAAUGAAAAAUUCACCUUUUGGAGGCUAGUGUCAUUACAGAUAAGUCCUGCCUUUUCUUUAAUGAGAUCAUAAUAUGAGUCAUCUGUCUAUUGCGUAUAUUUUGAACUUCACAGGUCUAAUAAACUGGUAUGGAGAAUCCUUUAUGGGAGGCUACAGGAUUUUUAAAAAGUGUUUUUUUCUGAAAUAAAAAGCAUGCACAAAAUGAACAUUUUUCUUUUUUUAAGAGAUGUUAUGAUGAAUUUCUGCCUGAUGUUAUUGUUUUGUAAUGACAGAAUUUUAUUCUGUUUUGCUUACACAGUUGCUUGCCAUAAUGAUUUAAGAGAGGAAGGAGGUUAAUAGAGUAAUUUUGUAACAAUAAGAGCAAACUUGUGGAAGGUCAUAUCACUUCUCGAUUCUUAUUUCUCAGUAUAGGACCCUUCCAGCAACAAGCAUAGUUGCUGAAAGAGCUGGACUCAGUAGUUGGAGAAAAGUUACUUCCUACAAGUUAUUGGAUAUGAUCUUGUACAUAGAAAUUGAGUAGCCUUUUGUUAAAAUGGCUACUGGAGGCAUAUUGCUUCCUAGG
ensembl:lncRNA